UACAUGUCAAAUUCAAAUUUGAUGUAGAAGCAAAUAAAACUUUGAAAUAUUUACAAGAAUUUGCACUGAAACUUUUACAGUAAAUAUUUGUUUCUCUUUGUGGUCUUUUUAAGUUGAAUCAGCAGCCUGAUAAUAUUUUCUUUAAAUAUAAAUAUGCUUACAAGUUAUAUAGCAUACUAUUGAGGGCAAAUUAUAUAUUCUAUAUAAUAUAGUAUUGUCUACCUUUAUCUGGUGAUGUAUAAAGCAAAAUUUAUGGCACUGUCCGACACUUAAAUUGAUUUUUUAUCGCCUUUCAACACGGCAAACUUGUUGUUGCCAUGCAUAAAUUACAACUCGAAUCGCAGUCGCAUAUUAAUGAGUGCAUUUACCAACACUAUUUUUACCAAGCUGGAGCGGAAUUCAAUUGGACAGUAAUAUUCCAAGCCAUUCAUAAAGUCAAGGACUCCUUAGUAGAUAUUCAGAUUACCCCACGUUUUGAUUUACUAAAAGUUAUUUUGUCAUUUUCAGUGCUAAUAUACACAUUUGGCAUUUGCGUAAAAUUAAAAUGUUACUAGAAUUAUUUUUAAUAAAAUUAUCAAUGUCGAUUCAUUAUGCGCUUAUAAUGCUUUUUUGUGUUCCAAUUGUAAUUGAAAUGUCAAUUCCAAAAACAUGAAUAUAUAUUUGAUAAACACUUUAAA